AGGGGUAAAGAGCAAUGGAAGUAAGACGUCCUGUCAUCAGUAACUGCAGACUGAGAUCCAAAAAGCGAAGCUACUGCUAAAGAAGCCGCUUGUUUUGUUCUUCAAUCUCUACAGCCUUCCAGAGGAUGGUGUCUGGAGCUUCUUUGAUUCUUUGUACUUCAGAGGCCAGAUGGAUCAGGGGAUCAUUCCAGGAGCGCAGCACUCCCAGUACUAAAUUCAGUGCACUGAAGCUGAACACAGCCAGGCUUGUUACGUACCGAGGGCUGUGCCAAUAGAAUUGCUGAAUUAUGCACUGAGAAGAUGGCAAUACCUGGGAUUGCAAGGAUAUCACCACCAUGAAACUGAUAAAGAUUUCUCCCUGGCACACCCCCGUUCAUACACCUGUGCUUAUUUUUUCUCCACAGUAUUUUCAAAUAGUAUCUGUGAUCCUAGGCUGAACGAGACCAU